GCGCCAGUAGCUCAGUGGAUAGAGCAACGGCCUUCUAAGCCGUGGGUCGCAAGUUCGAUCCUUGCCUGGCGCG
rnacentral:tRNA from 1 species